UACACUCCUGCGGGAGGCAGCAGUGGGGAAUUUUGGACAAUGGGCGAAAGCCUGAUCCAGCCAUGCCGCGUGCAGGAUGAAGGCCUUCGGGUUGUAAACUGCUUUUGUACGGAACGAAACGGCCUUUUCUAAUAAAGAGGGCUAAUGACGGUACCGUAAGAAUAAGCACCGGCUAACUACGUGCCAGCAGCCGCGGUAAUACGUAGGGUGCAAGCGUUAAUCGGAAUUACUGGGCGUAAAGCGUGCGCAGGCGGUUAUGUAAGACAGUUGUGAAAUCCCCGGGCUCAACCUGGGAACUGCAUCUGUGACUGCAUAGCUAGAGUACGGUAGAGGGGGAUGGAAUUCCGCGUGUAGCAGUGAAAUGCGUAGAUAUGCGGAGGAACACCGAUGGCGAAGGCAAUCCCCUGGACCUGUACUGACGCUCAUGCACGAAAGCGUGGGGAGCAAACAGGAUUAGAAACCCCUGUAGUCCCAUG
rnacentral:rRNA from 1 species